rnacentral:rRNA from 1 species
AUUGAACGCUGGCGGCAGGCCUAACACAUGCAAGUCGAACGAGUGGCGGACGGGUGAGUAAUGUCUGGGAAACUGCCUGAUGGAGGGGGAUCACUACUGGAAACGGUAGCUUAUACCGCAUACCAUCAGAUGUGCCCAGAGUGGAUUAGCUUGUUGGUGGGGUAACGGCUCACCAAGGCGACGAUCCCUAGCUGGUCUGAGAGGAUGACCGGCCAAACGGGAACUGAGACACGGUCCGGACUCCAACGGGAGGCAGCGGUGGGGAAUAUUGCACAAUGGGCGCAAGCCUGAUGCAGCCAUGCCGCGUGUAUGAAGAAGGCCUUCGGGUUGUAAAUUACUUUCAGCUGGGAGGCGGUACCCGCAGAAGAAGCACCGGCUAACUCCGUGCCAGCAGCCGCGGUAAUUC